rnacentral:rRNA from 1 species
CGGGUGAGUAACACGUAGGUAACCUGCCUUCGAGACCGGGAUAACCUUCCGAAAGGAGGGCUAAUACCGGAUGAGACCACGGGACCCUGGUCCUGCGGUCAAAGGUGGCCUCUGCAUGCAAGCUAUCACUCGAAGAUGGGCCUGCGCACCAUUAGCUAGUUGGCGAGGUAACGGCUCACCAAGGCUAAGAUGGUUAGCUGGUCUGAUAGGAUGACCAGCCACACUGGGACUGACACACGGCCCAGAGUCCUACGGGAGGCAGCAGUGGGGAAUAUUGGACAAUGGGGGAAACCCUGAUCCAGCGACGCCGCGUGGGUGAUGAAGGCCUUCGGGUCGUAAAGCCCUGUCUGGGGGGACGAAUCCCCCGCCGGUGAACAAUCGGCGGGAAGGACGGUACCCCGCAAGGAAGCACCGGCUAACUCUGUGCUCGCAGCCGCGGUAAGACAGAGGGUGCGAGCGUUGGUCGGAAGACUGGGCGUAAAGGGGCGCGUAGGUAUGUCUGUUUCGGUGUGAAAGCCCUCGGCUCGCCGGGGAAGUGCGCCGGAGACUGACAUACUCCAGUACCGGAGAGGAGGGUGGAAUUCCUGGUGUAGCUUGUGAACCUGGCAGAUGUAACGACGAACACCGGUGGCGAAGGCGGCCCUCUGGACGAGUACUGACGGCUGAAGCGCGAAA